AUUGAACGCUGGCGGCAGGCCUAACACAUGCAAGUCGAGCGAGAGGCGGACGGGUGAGUAAUGUAUGGGGACUGCCCGAUAGAGGGGGAUAACUACUGGAAACGGUGGCGAAUAACGCAUACUAGCGGAAAACCCAUAUGGGAUUAGCUAGUAGGUGGGGUAAAGGCUCACCUAGGCGACGAUCUCUAGCUGGUCUGAGAGGAUGAUCAGCCACAUCGGGACUGAAACACGGCCCAGAUUCCUACGGAGGCAGCAGUUGGGAAUAUUGCACAAUUGGCGCAAGCCUGAUGCAGCCAUGCCGCGGGUAUUAAGAAGGCCUUAGGUUUUUGAAGUUCUUUCAGCGGGGAGGCGUUACCCGCAGAAGAAGCACCGGCUAACUCCGUGCCAGCAGCCGCGGUAAUAC
rnacentral:rRNA from 1 species